rnacentral:lncRNA from 1 species
UAUCGAGUUGGUACUCUCUAUUAGUCUCCUCUAUAUAAUGUAUAACCUCUGCUUGCUUCUCAUAGAAGAUUCUGAUGUAUAAACCUCUGCUUGCUCUCCGAUAGAAAAUUCUGUUCAAACAUGCAGAUUGGCAUACUUGCUCAGAAGGUUACAACUGUAGGUAAGGCAUCAAACUAUAUGUCUCAAAUUAAGGUUUGUUUUUGGUUGGAUGCAAUUCUUUCAAUAACAUUUUUCUAUAAAUAAACUGUGGUUGCAAUUAUCUGGCCAUGUAUUUUUGAAUUUUGUUUUCCAUUGAAUAUUCAAGACAUCCAGAAGGAAGCAGUUGAGAAGAGAAGCACUUAGGGGAUGAUGUCGAUCUUGCACAUUCAGCUUUAUGUAUGUAGUCUCACUCUCAUCUUAUGUAGUUUAUUUAUAGCAGUUGAAUAAAGAAAUAUAGCCUCUUGGGAUCUAAAUCAGCAAUUCUAAAAUUGAUCGAUACUUGUGCUCGCUCACAGCAGAUGCUAAAUUGUUUUAUUGUACAUUUGGAUGUCGGAGUUCGUUGCAAUACCACAUAAGCAUCAUUUGAAAGCUUGAUUUUGUCAUUGAAUUUAAUGUAUGUGUCCUUAUAAUAUUUUCACCCACACUGGCCUUUUACCUACUCCUAUUAAUAUACAGUAGCAAACAAGUCCUUGACUCCUUCAGGAGUAUUCAGUAAGACUAAAAAGCUGAAAAAGAUAUUAAUGCCUUCAGGUAAAUGCUUCUUCGUAUACCAUAUAUGGUAGUUUGGUAAAAAAAAAUAAAACAACGGAGCAAAUUAAAAUAUAAUUAUGUUUAUCAAAAAGGCCGAAGGUAAUCGAUGAGCAAACAUAUUUACAUUCUAAUAUUUUUUGUUUUCUUUUCUUGAUAUGUCAUUUCCUUUGCUGAUCCUUCUCUUCUUAAUAUGAACAGGCCCCAAGCUAGAUUGACGAGAAAGUUUAUUUUGCACAUGGUCUUUCCUGGUUUUGUCCUUGUAGCAAGAAGUACUUUUUUUAUAACAAUAUCAGCUUUGCUCUGUUGUGUGCAAUGAUGUCAUUUAGGUACAGACCCCCUCCCCCAUUCAUGGAAGUUACUUCUUUUCAGAUAGAGAAUGAUCAUUAGUUUUUAUAUGGAUUUAGAGCACAUAAAUAAUUAGCUCCCAUUUUAAGUUUGGUUUUAGAGUUAGCCUUCCAGUUCUAUGCAUGUUUUUCUUGCUGCCCAUAUUAAUGACCACAUAUUUUUCAGUCAUUGUAGUUGCCCAUAUCGACGAUGGUUUAUUUCAGCCUCGAGGACCUUGCUGGUACCAGAUCCAACGGGGAGGAGAUUGCUGAGGCGGCUGAUUCCUAUGGGCUAUGUGAAAUUAAUGGUUGACUUGAUUGAGGAGUUAUGAGCUUUAUCAAAUCCUGAAGAGGUUUGCACAUCCUUUUCCCUUGUUUUCCUUCUGAAAUUGUUGUGAGAUUACUUGCUACCUUGCAGCAUAGCUGUCCAAUGUUUUCAUAAAGAAUUUUUUUGGCGUAUACUUUGGUAUUUCUACAAGCACCUAUCUCUGUAGUGUGGAAAAAUAAAUGAAGUAGUUCAAUCGUUAGG